rnacentral:ncRNA from 1 species
UCCGGAGCGCGUGGCGCAUGACGACCUGACGGAAGGCCACGCCCUUCAGGCGGGCGGUGCGGAUGUAUUGCUGGGUCAUCACUUCCGUCAUGGAGGCGCGGGUCAUGCGGGCGAUGUAGCCGAUGCCGUAGAGCGCGAUGGUCAUGACGGGCAGGAAGAAGUUCCAGAAGGUGAUGUCG